AUCCUACAAGCCGCUUGCUGAGACGCGGCCACAACACAAUGUCGUCCAACUGACAGCACUAACCCACUACCACUUCAAUGUACUAUUAAAAUUGACAAUACCAAGAAUUAAUAUAUGGUGGCAGCCCUAGGGCCAAGCUCCCGCGAGGUUCGGGCGCCGUCGGCGCGGCGGCGCGGUGUCGGCAAUCGUUGCCACAACAAUAUCUACUGUUGUGAUCUUUUCAUCGCGCUCACUAUACCACUGGAUUGUGUUUGUUUAUCGAAUGUAUUGGCCGAUCGGUGGUUAAGAGUCAUUGACGGUUUAAUAGUUCGUUGGCGGGUAACAAUGAACUUUAAGCUCAUUAACAAAAUGUUAUGUCAUGUAUCAUUAAAUAAAUAGCAGGUAUUAUUUAGAAAAUAGACAAACCAAGAACCGCUCGUCCUACAUAUAUACUGGAAUAGCAAGAUAAUCCUAUCAUACAGUUGUCCAAUUAAUUUCAUAUUUGUAAUCAUGUUAUUAUUAUUCACUAAUAUACUAUCAGUAUUUAUCAUAAAUGUUAAAAACGACAAAUAUUACAAGUCCAACGGGACCGUGCUUAGAAGGGGCUAAGAAGAGGCUUAGAACAAAUUAAGAAGGAUGUAAGUACUUUGUCAUGAUAAAAUAUUUAAAUAUCGGUGAAGUUAUAGUCACUUGAGGAUUAAUAAGCUUCAUUGGGAAUAGAGGAUGAAAGUUUAUAUUGACAAAUUUGUCAUUUCCCAAGAAGUCGUAUUUAGUCAAUGAAGAUAAUAAGUUGUGGGUAAAACCCGUAAAUACCACAGUAAAUAAAGUGCCAGUACGUUUAAAAGGUCAUUAUCUAUUGCGAUAGGUAAGUGGAUUCUUGCAAAAAACUCGUUAAAUUUACCAAUUACAAUACGAAUGAGCUCCCAAUCACGGCUGUCAGUGGCAAUGUGCAAUAUUUUGAUUACAACGAGCCUCGCAUUGUGGUUCUAUUGUUCGCACGCUUUUAUCAUGUCGUAAUCGAGUGGAAUUAAUAACUUAGUACAAGGUCACACUAUCGACGUGAUGUUCACCGACAAAAAGUCGCAAUGUUGUAUGAAGAACCAAGUUCCAGCACAUGUAUAUUAUAACGAAGAUAGUUUGGAUAAAGCGGACGGAUGACAUGAUAAUAAUCUAAUUAUUUAACUAGGCCUUUAGUCACUAAUAGAUUAGUAAACCUUUGAUAGUAUAAAAAAAUGCCUUGUGUAUGUAAACUGAAUAGCAGGUAUGAACCAUGACUGUCACUGUAUUAUCUGACAGUAUCGCCUCCAAUCUAUCAAAAUAAUCAUUAUCAACUAAUAACAAAGUAGCACAGUGUUUCUACUCCUACAUGCCUCUUCUCUUCACAUUUAUAAUAACGGUUUUUGUGAAGUAUUCUCGUAUAUAUCAAGCACAGUUAAUAAAUGACAUAAGAAAAGAAAAAGUAGGUACUUUCGCAUCUUUUAAAGCAACUGUGCCGCAAAAUCUAAAAGGUUGGUAGUCAAGAUUAGCGUAAGUGUUGUUUCUGCAAUGUGCAAGUUUUGAAAAGCGAAUAAGUAAAGUGCCUUAUACGAUUCCAUACCCAAUACUUCAUAGGCUACGUAAUCACGUUAACAAUUAUUAUGAAAAAUACUUUUUUUGCGACAAUUUGUUAGUUGGUAUGCUCUCGACCUUAGCAGUCGCGCCACGGACAUUGAACUGGGGUAUACAAAAAGCGCUAAUUAAAAAUUGGGACCAAAAUUUGGCUCCGAACCUCACGCGAGUCGUCAACUCGAAUUAACGUCACUUUGUUUUACGCGGAGCUUUUCGACUGGUCCAAUUAAUAUAGUUUUUUAGAUUUUGAGGGCAGAAGUGUACUUCUGUGACACAUUUAUCAAAAAAGUUCACUCAAAAAAUAAAAAAAAUAGGUAAAGUCACCAACACAAAUGUAGCCUAAAUUCUGUCUCACUGUGAGUACAGUACAGGCACCUAAUUCGUACAAUUUAAGAAUAUCCUUGACUCUUGACUCUGUUGUCUCCAAAAAUAACAUAGAUAACUAUAAAAUUAAAAAUAAAUCUUUAAAUUUUUUUUUAAAAUUUAAAUCUUUAAAUUUUUUUUUAUUAAAAAAAAAUAUAUAAUAUUAAUAAAAAUUUCAUAUGCACUAUACGUUAAAAUUAUACAAAGUUAUUCCUUUUGCAUUUCAGGUCCAUAGUGAGUUCUCUGGGUAAGAAGCUCAUUAAGUGAACGCCACUGAUUACAGCACCACAUAACAGCCACAUAUUAUAAAGGCACCAAUUACAUAUGCGGUAAAGUUACAAAGAAAACUGAAGGAUCCGAGACACGAACGACUUACCCGUACGUGUGGAGAAAAAGAGAAAAACUCUCCGACUUACACCCUGAGCGCUGCAAGGGUGAAGGGACUGGAGGGUACAAGGGCCCUACUUCCACUGUGACAUAAUGCGAGCUCCGAUUGAAGGGCUGCCAACGCUGCGUGAACAAAGCACGCGCGUACAUACACGUAUGUACAAAAGCUUUCACGAAUACAAAGGAUUGGAGGAAUAUUAUCCCCGUAUGCUUGAAAUAAAAAAUGACAGGGGACAAUUAACUGCGCACGCCGGAUUAGCGGGAGUGUCUGCUGCGAGCGAGUCGCGGUCACCGUUAUGUGGGUCAAGACUCAAGAUAACAGAGUGAGACCUCUCCCUAGCGUCCGGCGCCGCGACGUGCUUAGAUAGUAGACACCCGUGCUCAGUACAGUGUGACAUACACAAGUCCUUCUAUAUUUGAUAGCUUUAUUUUUAUAUUAAAGUGGUAAGAUUGAUUGCUUGUUUGAAUUGAAUAAGCUCUGAAACUACUGAAUCGGUUUUAAAAAUUCUUCCACCGUUAGAAUGCUACAUUAUCGCUGAUAAGCAUAAACAUAGACUAUAUUUUAUCUCCACAUACCCAUGAAAACGGAAACUACGCGGGUGAAACCGCGGUGAGUCUACUAGUCUUCAAUAGCGCUACCUUUGUUUUUUGUAAAUGUAUGUUUUGUGAAAUUCAAUAAAAAAGGAAAUAAGACAAAAUAAUUAACACUGUUUUUAACUUAUAGCUAAUUAAUUACCUAUCAUUUAUUACCCAUACCAAUAUUCCAAUUAUGAUAGCAGCUAAACGUCUGUUUGUCGAUUAUUGUACGUUAAUCGCCAAUUUCAAUCGAACGAAAACCAAAUAAAUUUCAUUUACUUGAAGUAGGCUUACUUUACAAUUACAAGCACUUGAAAAUUCUUUCUUUUGUAAGAAGUUUGAGAAGGUCUACUACCGGUUAGCUGAGAUUUGCCGGCAAGAAACUUUUAAAUAAAUCUUGGUACACAGAUUAAUCAUUGGAACAAGCUUCUUUUUGUACGCAAAAAUGAAACAAGGAGACGAAAUAGGGGAAGAAGUCUUUUAUAAAGAAGUUAUGGCUUGGAUUUAUUGCCGGCGUAGUUGCGGACAAUAUUAAAAUAGAAGGCAAGAAACAGUAAUAAAAGUUUAUGAACGAAUUCCAGAUUGUUUUCAAUAAGUAAACAGGUAAGCAAGCCAGGAUCUAGGUGAAGGACGCCUUCCACAAUCUGUAUUUAUCAAGGACGACCUCAAUACGGUAUACCUACGCUUUAGUACCAACGUAAUUUAUAUUACCCACAACAAUGCAUUUUAUCGGACCCAUUUAGCAUUUUCUUGAGAAACACGAGCUUUUUCCUAAAUAUUUUUUUAUUAUACCCUGCAUGCGAUCAGCUUCGAGCUGCUUUCUGCGAGGUCUGUUUGACUUACGAGGAAUUUACUCGAAGGCUGACUACGACUAGACACAACAACCUUAUCAGCUUACAACUUUAUAAAUAAAGUAAAAACAUCGCAACUUUUUUCCGAAAAAUAUAUUUUUUUAUAAGUUAGCCCUUGACUACAAUCUCACGUGAUGGUAAGUGACGAUGCAAUAUAAGAUAGAAACGGGCUAACUUGUUAGGAGUAGGAUGAAAAUCCACACCUCUUUCGGUUUCUACACAACAUCGUACCGGAACGCUAAACCGCUUGGUGGUACGUCUUUGCCUCCUACCUGCCAGACUUGGACCAAUUAAGAAAACCUCAAUCGGUCGCCGGGAGCGAGCCCAGGACCUCCGUCUUGUAAGUCCACCGCGCGUACCACUGAGCCACGGAGGCCGUCGAAAUAAACCAGAAGUGAUAGUCGAAUAAUUGCCGAGAUAUUAUAUAGCAGGCAUGCCUAGGAGGUGCCUUAGGUUUGAUUUGUAUUCUAUAUGGUAUUUAAGAUCUUCAAAGUUUGUCCAUCAAUUUGAAGUUUUUUUUAUUUUGUUUAUUAUGAUUAGUACUUGUUCGACAAUAAUACACGCCGGCAUCGAGUCGUGAUAACAGCGCCAAUACUGUUAUCAGAGCGAUAAGCGGCGCUGGCGUCGCAUCAACGCUCCAAACCUCUGUAGGUCAAUUGCCGUGUUUGUGGCUCUCGAUUUAUACGUUUGUUUCGAGUCUCAUAAGGCUAAGGCCACACCAACGCGGCCUACAUGUGUUCAUAGGUCCCAAAACCUGUCUAAUAAAAUUGUAAAUCUACUCAAUUACAUGUAAUAUUACCAGUAACAUGAAUGUGGUGCUAUGUUGUAAUCUCUGUAAUCAACUGAAAACAGAUUUCAUUAUUUAGCGGAUUUGUCAGCUUAGACCAGCCAUGCUGCUCAAAUGCGCGUUGGUGGUUUAGUGAUAGCUUGUCUCUGUGACAAUCACUAUCACAUUUUAAUC